rnacentral:lncRNA from 1 species
AACAGCCCAACUCAAGAGUAAACCCAAAAUCCAAUCCAAUAUAUCUGAACCCUCACCAAUCACACAUUCAAUGGCUGAUUUGUGAGAAUGGACGAUUACAAAGGCACAGAGACUUUGAAUUUUUCUCUCAGCCUCUCAUUGUCUCACUCUCAUCGUUGUGAGCCCACGAUAUGGUGCUGUCCGCGUCGCCUUUCUUCCAUCGAUGCCAUUAGUGGAAGCCAAAUCACAAUUACUUCAGUUUCAAAUUAUACCUCAAUGUCCUCUCUCGUCUCUGUAGGUUGCCACUGCUAUGGAGGUAUACAUUUUGUUUAUAUUUUUUUCUUGUUAUUUUAAAAUAUUUUAAGAUGGAGAAUCUGAUUUGGGGUGAGCUGUGGAGCCAGAGGGUUUUGUGCUUUCACUGUUGUGUGCUAGGUAGUGCGUGGUGAGAUUAUUUUCAGAUUUUUAUAGGAUUAGAAAAUCAUGUUAUGGGAUUAUGAUUUAUUGCUCAAAUAUUAAAUGGGAUUCUGGGAAUAGGAUUUAUUGCUAACAUAUUCUAGUUCCUUUUAAAUAUUGAAUGGGAAUCCAAAAUGGGAUUAGGAUUUAGGAUUAUAUUCAAUCGAUGCUUCUAAAUCAAAAAUUAAAUAUAAAGAACUAGUUUGGUAAAUUUAUGUAUUUGCUUCUAAAACUUCCCACGGUUUUAAGAAAUGUUGGGUAAGUGAACGAAAAUUUCUAAUUUCCCUUUUGCUGGAACAAUAUCUAUAAUGCUUAGCCAUAUAUGCUAGUACAUAAAUUUCCUUUUUGCUACAACAAACAGAAAUAUUAUUUUUAGGUAUCAUCAGUAAACAACAAAAGAUAAAGACUGCUGCAAGUUAACAAUUACCUUAUUAAAUGGCCUAAAAUUGCAGCCCGUGCAGGAGAUAGACUCUUCCCUUAUUAAAAUACUUUUGAGGGCCACUAAAUUUAUUUUUACCAUUUACAAAUUUGGUUGUGUAAACAUGGCUUGUUAGUUGUUGGCACAAUAUUGAGAAGUAGUUGCCUUUGCUCUAUUUGGGUUAGAUAUUAUGCUACAACUCAAGCUCCCUGAUGGCCUCCCAUUUCUUGCUUACUUCUCUAUUUAAGUCGGGAUGAGACUUUUCAUGAGUUUCUUUUCUUCAUUCUAGGCUCAUAAGUUGUGAAGAAAUCAAGUUCAUUUCUUUCCCCACUUAAAUGCCUCAUGGCAGGCACGUUCUGCAAAAGUCCUGCACCUGGUGAACAACCAUUCGUGAAGGUAAUUGAUAUAAAUUUGAUGAUGGGAAAAGAAAAAAAUGAAGGUAGGAACGGAUUUGUAUUUUCAAAGUAGAUGUGUGUAUCAAUUUUUUUAUUUUUAUUUUUUGUAUACAACACAUGCUCAGAAGAAAUUAUUUUGUAAUUGGCUUUACCCCUAUUUAGACUAUUUCAAUGCUUUAUUUAUUCUUUCACGGUUCGAGGCUUCACAUCUCUCUGCGUUCGCAUCGUUACAUGGUUAUAUAAUCAUAAACUACAACCCCAUAUCUAUUGAUACCCUGAGUAGCUGCAUUUACGUGGUCAUGUUAUUCCAACAUCAUAAUUUAUUAGCUGCUAGAUGACACUAUAUCAGUGUUGACACUGUAAGUUAUCUGGUUUAAUCAUCAUUGGUUGAUGGCAUAAGUGAUAUACUAUUUUAAUCUUUCGUCACUUUAAAUGUGUCAUGAUUUUUCUUACAUU